GCAAUGCCCAGAGAGGCUGAUGGGAACAGUGGCAAGCUCUGCCUUUGCUUACGUCAAAUGAAAGAAAGAGCCGUUAGUCCGUCUAGAACGAAACCGCACUCCCUGGCUUGAACAUGGUCGCAUGCGGUUGGACACAUGGAGGAGAGAAUCAUUUUCGCAGUAUCCUCAAAACCGUGUCUUUUUGACACAACUGCUGACAGCUACAGGGAUAUAAACACAAAAAAUGCUGCUUGGAGACAAGUGUCCACGAUAGUAGGAUUGCCAGAAGACGAUUUUAGGAGGACAUGGAGAGGACUCAGGGACAGGUAUCAGAGAGAGAGAAGGGCAGAGAAAGAGAAGAAGAGGUCUGGGUCAGCAGCUUCAGGCCAGCAGCCUUGGCGCUUCUGCCACAUUCUUUUUUUUCUGGAUCCAUUUAUUGUGCCUAGGGCAACAAGUGGCAAUUUUACAGCCAGACCCUCUACUACGUCAUCCACAAGUGUUGUCGCCACCGGUGCAUUAAGACCCUCAAUGUCACCUACAAGUGCGACCAUCGCCUCCACCGGUACAGCGAGACCCUCUACAAUGUCUACAUCAUCCACGAGUAUGACCACCACCGGUGCAGCCAUGGAAGACGAUGAAAUGGAGGAAGCACCUCUGGAUCUAGGACCACCGGAGAUUAUUAUGAACCUCACAGAAGUGACCACUGAGGACCUUGUUGAACAGGAUGUGGCUGUGGAGACAAACAGCGAGAGAAACGAAGAGGAACAACGUCACACCAGGCGUCAUUGGAGGUACCAGCCCUCAGAUCCACUCAACUCAUUUCAGCAGAGGGUCCUCCAAGCCGUCGCGAGGGAUGCAGCCCAACCUGAUGCUCACAGGAAGAAGGAUGAAGAGACCCUCUUUGCCAUGAGCCUGGUGCCAAAACUGAAGAGGCUGCCUCAGCAAAGAAAAUCAGCAGUAAAGAAAUGGAAUCAAUUUAGCCAAUCAGCUCACAGGAAGGAGAGGAAGAGGAGAGGAGUUGUCUGGUUGUUGUUUUGACCUCCCUCAUUGUACCUUUCUUUUCACACAUGUCAGUUCCAUUUAAAUUCAGUCAAUUCAUAAAGUAAUUUGUUUAUAAAGUCUUAGGAUAGCAUCCAUUAUUAGUGUUACAUAGAUUUCUGAAUUGACAGAAUUGAAACUCAUACACCGGAG
rnacentral:lncRNA from 1 species